GUGUACGAUGUAGGUUGAAUGACUAGAUUGUGUAUUUUCUUUCUAUUUUAAAAUUCUAAACAUUUAAUAUAGCUUUUCAAAGCAUUUGGAAAAUUUCUUUUUCGUUUGCACCGUUCUAUUACACCAAUUCUUUUAUAUUGAAAUUCAGAGAAAUUCCGGGGAACCAAGUUGAUUCCUUAAUUUUAAUCCAAAUCAAUUCUUGAAGAACAAGUGAAAAUGCGUUGUUUAAAUGUCACACAUUGUUUGUGCUGCAUAAGCUUAAAACCGGCAGGAAUACUUUUAGGAGCAUUAGGAAUUGCCGGAUGUAUCUACAGUAUUGCGAUGGCAAAGUAUGAGAUUAACAAAGAUUUUGAAGUCACCGAGAUUUUAAAUAAUGAAGUCAUGGAACAUCAACUUGCUCUCAAAUACUUUUUUGCUGUGCUUCAGCUGCUUACAUCCACGCUAUGGUUGUUUGGAAUAUUCACAAAAAAUCCGCAUCUAAUGUUGCCCGAGUUGAUUCUCUCGUUUCUCUUUCUCCUGUUGAUCGGACUUUUGGUUGGUUUGAUGUUUUUGGUCGCUGGUUCAUCACGUGGAGCCAGGCUACAUAUUAUAGCAUUUCCUGCAUAUUGCAUUGCAGGCUUGUUAUUCCACUUUUGGAUUGUUCGUCUGUCUUUAUACAAAUCAAUGGUACACAAUGGCAGAAACACCGACACACGUUACAUGGGCCACGAACUAAAUGAAAUACGAACAUAUGUUUACACAGUUUGAAUAUGGAAUACUGAAGGUUGUCGGAACUUUUGGAAUGAACAAAGUGUAUCAAAUGUAAUUCAUUCAUUUAUUUUCGAAAUGAAACAAUAACUUGCUUGAAUUUGAGUUAAGGUGAGCAAUAAAGAAACUACGUCCCCUUUAAGUAUCCGAAUGAGAAUUUUCGUUGUAUUUCUUCAUGUCAAUUAUAGAUAAAUAAUUUCAUAAAAAACCAUCAAUGUAUCACUAACGAUUCGUAAAAUAUUAUUUUUAUGUAUUUUAAAAGAAAAAAAGCGUUUUAUUUGAAGUGUAUUUCCUUUCGGUUACUACGACAGAAGCCAAUGAAUUCCAUUUUCUUCGGAUGAUUUCCGACCGUAAACUAUUAGUUCGAUUCGUUCAUCUACAGAAACGAAAGCGAAAAAAUCCCAUGCUGGGUGACUAUUUUGAUGAUGACUCAAUUGGCGUUUUUUUUUUUUCAUUAAUGGUCGAUUAAAUAAUAGUGGUUUUAAUAGGUAAUGUUAGUGGCUAUAGCGGUAAGAAAUCACAUUUUCUUUGAUUUGGCUGAAAGGGUUCUCGAUAUCUUGAUUUUUUCGAAGUUUUGGACCGAACAGGUGACAUCCUUGUUACUAAGUUCUUUGCCUCAUAUUGGUCAUCAAUUUUCUCGUUUUUCCAAUGCUGGGUGAUAUCGAUAUCAUAACUUCCGAAUACAUCAUAGGAAUUCGAUGAAAUAGAUCGAUUUAUAUCACCAUGAGUUGAAGAGUGUCCAUGUCAUCGAGCCUAAUUGCACAACGAGCAACGCACCUCUACAAUUCACUGUGAGAAAACAUUCUUCACCAAAGUUUCAUUCAUUGUUUUGUUCCUGAACAUGAUAAUUAUCGGCUCUUGUUUUGUAUCCAGCUAUCAACUGUAAAAUGAAGACAAUCUCCUCCAUUUGAAUAUUUCCCCAUGAAUAUCCGUUGGCUAGUGUUCAUAUUAUUUCGAACAAUUUCAGCAAACACUUCCAUUUUCUUUCAACAGAUGUCAGUGAAUGCUGAAUGAAGAACGAAUAAUUGCCGAUUUUUACUUUCCGAUUGAAAUUCACAUAGAGCACAUGAAAUACGAAUGUGCGUGUCAAGGUUUGUCUAUUUCAUAGCUCAAGUCUGAGUAACAUGGAAUAUAAGCAACAUACAAUUGCUAUCAUUCCAUAGAAAAACGUCAAAUUUUCCUAUUUCUUUGUGUCCUUUUUUACAUUUUCAUUGUUGAUUGUCAUUUUUUAUUGACGCAGAUACGUUCCAUUUCAUUUAUUUUGAUAAAAACAAUCGAUUUGUUUUCAAAAACUCAAUUUAGAAAGAAAGGCGGAUUUGUUUGUGCUUUAAGACUUCAUUCAAUCGUGAAAGUUCAACAAAAACCACUUGGAUUGAAACAAAUUUACUCGGAUAAAUCAAUAUCAAUUGAUUUCGCUGCCUUCGAACUAUUUGAUCGAAAAAUGUGAUUUUCUCUGUGCCUCUUCAUUCCCAAUCGAUGGUUUUUGUUGAAAAUUUUUGAUAAUUUUUCUGAAGCUAUCGGCAAAGAGUGUUUUUUAACGUUUUCUCUCUCUCGCUCUCUCUCUCUUGUUGAUUAGAGUGACUUUUAACUUAAAAAUUCCAAGCGAUUGUUCAUAAUUGUGCAAUUCAAGUAGAAAACACCUUUUACAAGUGAUACAAAAUACCAAUGGCCACCGAAUUCGCAUUAAAAUUGAAAAUUCCAACCGUUGACAAAUUUUGUUGUUGCAUUGCACUACAAACGGGAGGCGUGGUUUUAGGUGUAGUCGAAAUAGUCGCACGUUUCCAUUAUAUUUGUAAGAAAUUUGUUAAGGGGAUCGGCGUGACCUUGGAUUUCGAUUCGUAUGAAUCCGAUGAAUUAAUCACAGAACAUCAUUUAUGGGAUGAAGAAGUAUUAGACAUACUAUCAAUUGCGCUGAAUUGUAGGCAUAAGCAUGUUUGUUGCGGGUGCUUUUAUUGCCGGGAUUUUCAAAGAACGGCCAAAUUUAAUGUUGCCCUUGGUUGUCACCACCUUAGUUACUUUCAUCGUAUUUAUCUUUAGCACAUUAUAUUCAAUGUUCAGCUCUCCAAACCAUUUCAAAAACGACGGAAUCGCCUUUUCGUUAGGCUUCAGUGGCCAUUGGAUUGAUGUACUGUGGCCUGUUUUACUCUUUUAUUUCUGGAUCGUUGAAUAUUCUUUGUACAAAGCCAUAAAAUUUGCCGUCGAGGAGAGAAAUCAGCAAGGAAGAUAUGAAAUUGAAAACGAAGCUGGCAUUCGAUAUUGAAAUGAGAACAAUCAUCGUUUAUUUUCAGGGAUUUUUUCUACUUUGAUUUUGAUCAAUUCAUAAUUAAAAUUUGACUUUAACCAU